rnacentral:rRNA from 1 species
UACGUAGGGUCCGAGCGUUGUCCGGAAUUAUUGGGCGUAAAGGGCUCGUAGGCGGUUCGUCACGUCGGGAGUGAAAACUCGGGGCUUAACCCCGAGCCUGCUUCCGAUACGGGCAGACUAGAGGUAGGCAGGGGAGAGCGGAACUCCUGGUGUAGCGGUGGAAUGCGCAGAUAUCAGGAAGAACACCGGUGGCGAAGGCGGCUCUCUGGGCCUUACCUGACGCUGAGGAGCGAAAGCGUGGGGGGAGCGAACAGG